rnacentral:rRNA from 1 species
UGGGGAAUAUUGGGCAAUGGGCGCAAGCCUGACCCAGCAACGCCGCGUGAAGGAAGAAGGCCCUCGGGUUGUAAACUUCUUUUGUCAGGGACGAAGCAAGUGACGGUACCUGACGAAUAAGCCACGGCUAACUACGUGCCAGCAGCCGCGGUAAUACGUAGGUGGCAAGCGUUAUCCGGAUUUACUGGGUGUAAAGGGCGUGUAGGCGGGAUUGCAAGUCAGAUGUGAAAACCACGGGCUCAACCUGUGGCCUGCAUUUGAAACUGCAGUUCUUGAGUACUGGAGAGGCAGACGGAAUUCCUAGUGUAGCGGUGAAAUGCGUAGAUAUUAGGAGGAACACCAGUGGCGAAGGCGGUCUGCUGGACAGCAACUGACGCUGAGGCGCGAAAGCGUGGGGAGCAAACAGG